AGCAGCAUGGCGCAGUGGUAGCGCGCGGGGCCCAUAUGAGGGAACAUAUUAGUUCUGAGUUCAAUGGAACCCCGAGGUCACUUGAUCGAAACAAGUUGCUGCUA